GGCCCGCGUCCGCGGCCUUCAAACGUGGGGGAGAGUCAGGGGACCCGCGGUCCCACCCCGCGGCCGCGGGUGGUGACCGCGGGUGUCUCCUGAGUCGGGGGCAGCUGACCCGCGGUCCCACCCCGCGGCCGCGGGUGGUGACCGCGGGCUACUGGGCGUAUUGCGCAGGCCGCUCGUUUUGCUCCGUUCUCCCUCGUCCGGACUCGG
rnacentral:lncRNA from 1 species